rnacentral:rRNA from 1 species
UGCCAGCAGCCGCGGUAAUACGGAGGGGGCUAGCGUUGUUCGGAAUUACUGGGCGUAAAGCGCGCGUAGGCGGUGUGCAUAGUCAGAGGUGAAAGCCCGGGGCUCAACCCCGGAACUGCCUUUGAUACUGGCAUGCUAGAAUCCGUGAGAGGGUAGUGGAAUUCCUAGUGUAGAGGUGAAAUUCGUAGAUAUUAGGAAGAGCACCAGUGGCGAAGGCGACUACCUGGCACGGCAUUGACGCUGAUGUGCGAAAGCGUGGGGAGCGAACAGGAUUAGAUA